CGAGUUUCUUUUUUUAGUUUCGUAAAUGUCGUCUGCAUCUUCACGCGUUCUUUGCAAGAGUGAAUCGCAAGCGAUACUUUCAAAAUAUUGCCAAUCACUGUGACCUGCUCCCUCGAACAAGACUUUGCCGACAUUGUCAAACACCAAGACAAAGCUUUAACGUCAUAUGACAUGGAAAUCAAUGAAGAAACGACUAAAUUCACGACCAAUAAAAGCAGCGCCGUCAGCAGAGAAAUCAAGGUGAGAAGCCAGGAAAACAGUUCUGCACAUCUAUACCUACUCAAGGAUCAAUUAUCUCAGACAAGGCUUUGAGCCGAAAGGCUAUAGCCAUCUAGUAUAGACAACAGGGCUCACGGAAACCUCUCUGGAGACAUCAUUAGUUCCGCUCCAAAAUCAGGCUGAUGCUUUCCCUGGUCAUCACUGAUCACAUAACGACAGUGACCGAUUUUCACAAAAGCGACUUAAUUUAUAAUACAUGAUUGAUAUAGAGACCGUACCUGAAUACUCGAAAACUCUAAUUUCUCUGUCGAUCGAAUUAAUAUUUUAUUUGGAGUGGAAGUUUCGGUAUUUGGACGUUUUCACUGCAUAUAAAGCUUCACUCACCCAUCCAUCUGACAUCGCAUGUAUAACCAUCUUUAGAAUAAGCCGACGAAUAUGUGACUGGAGUGAAAAUAUUAUUUUACCUUAAAAAUGAAUACGUAACAGAUUUUCUCGGUACCGUUUGAUACUUUAGUAUGACAAAUUUGCAAAAGUUACCGAGAAACAAAGAUGCUGGAAUUUCUAGGCAGGAGAACGGUAAACGCCAGACAAGUGGCAAAGGUCUGUGAAAGGCUGAAAACUCAGGCAUUGACGUAUACCCAGUCUGUGAGAAACGAUCUAUCUUGCAGACAAAGAAUGAUUUAUUCUUUUUGCUCACAAGAAUCCCUCGCCUGAUGAAUGAAUUAAAUAACUGCACUUACGGAUUCUGAAAUAUCACAUAUGCGCAUGAGAUAAACAAGCUAAUAAAGAUCUCUUAGGUGAUCGUAAA